rnacentral:rRNA from 1 species
UUUGAAAGCUUGCUUUCAAAUCAACUUAGCGGCGGACGGGUGAGUAACACGUAGGCAACCUGCCCCACAGACUGGGAUAACUACCGGAAACGGUAGCUAAUACCGGAUAACUCCUUUUGGCUCCUGCCGAGAGGAUAAAAGACGGAGCAAUCUGUCACUGCGGGAUGGGCCUGCGGCGCAUUAGCUAGUUGGUGAGGUAACGGCUCACCAAGGCGACGAUGCGUAGCCGACCUGAGAGGGUGAACGGCCACACUGGGACUGAGACACGGCCCAGACUCCUACGGGAGGCAGCAGUAGGGAAUCUUCCGCAAUGGGCGAAAGCCUGACGGAGCAACGCCGCGUGAGUGAUGAAGGUUUUCGGAUCGUAAAGCUCUGUUGCCAGGGAAGAACGUCCGGUAGAGUAACUGCUACCGGAGUGACGGUACCUGAGAAGAAAGCCCCGGCUAACUACGUGCCAGCA